AUUGAACGCUAGCGGGAUGCCUUACACAUGCAAGUCGAACGGAGUGGCGAACGGGUGAGUAAUGUAUCGGAACGGGCCCAGUAGCGGGGGAUAAAUACGCGAAAGCGUAGCUAAUCCCGCAUACGAUUGGAGCGGCCGAUAUCGGAUUAGCUAGGUGGUGGGGGAACGGCCCAACCAGGCGACGAUCCGUAGCUGGGUUGAGAGGACGACCAGCCACACGGGGACGGGGACACGGCCCAGACUCCUACGGGAGGCAGCAGUGGGGAAUUGUGGACAAUGGGGGAAACCCUGAUCCAGCCAUCCCGCGUGUGCGAUGAAGGCCUUCGGGUUGUAAAGCACUUUUGGCAGGAAAGCGGUACCUGCAGAAGAAGCACCGGCUAACUACGUGCCAGCAGCCGCGGUAAUAC
rnacentral:rRNA from 1 species